CACGUAGGCGGCCUGGUAAGCCAGAUGUGAAAGCCCGGGGCUUAACCCCGGAAGUGCAUUUGAUACUGUCAGGCUUGAGUAUGGGAGAGGGAAGUGGAAUUCCUGGUGUAGAGGUGAAAUUCGUAGAUAUCAGGAGGAACACCGGUGGCGAAGGCGACUUCCUGGACCAAUACUGACGCUGAGGUGCGAAGGCGUGGGUAGCAAACA
rnacentral:rRNA from 1 species